rnacentral:rRNA from 1 species
AUACGGAGGGGGCAAGCGUUAAUCGGAAUUACUGGGCGUAACGCGUGCGCAGGCGGUUUGUCAAGUCAGAUGUGAAAGCCCCGGGCUCAACCUGGGAACUGCAUUUGAAACUGGCAAACUAGAGUGUGGUAGAGGGAAGUGGAAUUCCUCAUGUAGCGGUGAAAUGCGUAGAUAUGGGGAGGAACACCAGUGGCGAAGGCGACUUCCUGGACCAACACUGACGCUCAUGUACGAAAGCGUGGGUAGCAAACAGGAUUAGAAACCCUAGUAGUCC